rnacentral:rRNA from 1 species
GAUGAACGCUGGCGGCGUGCCUAACACAUGCAAGUCGAACGGAGGGACGAGAAGCUUGCUUGUCGGAUGUUAGCCGCGGGCGUGAGAGAAACACGAGUAAACCCUCCUUGUAAGUCUGGGAUAACCACGGGAAACCGGAGCUAAUACCGGAUAAGAUUUUGAACCGCGGGGUUCAAAAGUGAAAGACGGCCUUGCGGUCACUGAUAGAUGGAUCCGAGCUGCAUUAGCUAGUUGGUAAGGUAACGGCUUACCAAGGCAACGAUGCAUAGCCGACCUGAGAGGCGGAUCGGCCACACUGGAACUGAGACACGGUCCAGACUCCUACGGGAGGCAGCAGUAGGGAAUCUUCGGCAAUGGGCGAAAGCCUGACGCAGCAACGCCGCGUGAGUGAUGAAGGUCUUCGGAUCGUAAAACUCUGUUAUAAGGGAAGAACAGCUGUGUAAUUAGAUGUAGAGAUCGUGACGGUACCGAAUCAAAAAGCACCGGCUAACUACGUG